UGAAAGGGGGGUGGAAUAUGUUCAGGACACUCCAAACAUUAAAUAAAAUGUGUGAAGUAGUUGAGAUCUACGUCCCUGAAUGCUCCACAAUACUUUAAACAUAGGUGAUCAGACAGGCGAAAAUGCAUUAGCUUCAAUGGUAGGGCCAUGUGACAUGUAUCACUCUUUGCUGAAAAAACUAAAGAUUGUGUCUCAAUGAAAGGGGGGUGGAAUAUGUUCAGGACACUCCAAACAUUAAAUAAAAUGUGUGAAGUAGUUGAGAUUUACGUCCCUGAAUGCUCCACAAUACUUUAAACAUAGGCCUACACACAGGCGGAAAUGCAUUGUCUUCAAUUGUAGGGCCAUGUGAUACCUAUGACACUUUGCUGAUGAAACUAAAGAUUGUGUCUCAAUGAAAGGGGGGUGGAAUAUGUUCAGGACACUCCAAACAUUAAAUAAAAUGUGUGAAGUAGUUGAGAUUUACCUCCCUGAAUGCUCCACAAUACUUUAAACAUAGGCCUACACACAGGCGAAAAUGCAUUAUCUUCAAUGGCAGGGCCAUGUGACAUGUAUCACUCUUUGCUGAAAAAACUAAAGAUUGUGUCUCAAUGAAAGGGGGGUGGAAUAUGU
ensembl:lncRNA